rnacentral:rRNA from 1 species
UCCUGGCUGUAAACGAUGUGGACUAAGCGUUGGUGGGGUCAAACCCAUCAGUGCUGGAGCUAACGCGUUAAGUCCACCGCCUGGGGACUACGGCCGCAAGGCUAAAACUCAAAGGAAUUGGCGGGGGCCCGCACAAGCAGCGGAGCGUGUGGUUUAAUUCGAUGCUACACGAAGAACCUUACCCGGGCUUGACAUGCUGGUGGUACCGAACCGAAAGGGGAGGGACCCCGGGG